GAUGAAGAACGUAGUGAAAUGCGAUAAGUAAUGUGAAUUGCAGAAUUCAGUGAAUCACCGAAUCUUUGAACGCACCUUGCACUCCUUGGUAUUCCGAGGAGUACGCCUGUUCGAGUGUUAUGAAGCUCUCAAAACGCAAUUGGCUUAAAACCUGAUUGUUGUUUUGGAUUUGAACUUUGCCGUGUUAUAACGGCUGGUUUUAAAAGUAUUAGCUGGUACUAGAACGAAUUGGUUCUACUCAACGUGAUAAUUAUCUGAUCGUUGAGGACAUUCCUUUCACGAGGAAUGGCCAUAGUAAAUUCAAUGGACUGCUUCUAAUCUGGCUUUAAUUCUUUAUUGGAUUAACCACUUUUCAAAUCUGACCUCGAAUCAGGUGGGACUACCCGCUGAACUUAAGCAUAUCAAUAAGCGGAGGA
rnacentral:misc_RNA from 1 species